rnacentral:rRNA from 1 species
GACGAACCGUGCGAACGUUGUUCGGAAUCACUGGGCUUAAAGGGCGCGUAGGCGGCUCGCGAGGUCGGGGGUGAAAUCCCACGGCUUAACCGUGGAAGGGCCUUCGAUACGGGCAGACUAGAGUGUGGUAGGGGAGACUGGAAUUCCUGGUGUAGCGGUGAAAUGCGCAGAUAUCAAGAGGAACACCUGAGGUGAAGACGGGUUGCUGGGCUGACACUGACGCUGAGGCGCGAAAGCCAGGGGAGCAAACGGG